GUCCUUUCGUUUUUUUGGAAGGUCUGGCCUGCCCAGUGAAUUAAAUUUAACGGCCGCGGUAUAUUGACCGUGCAAAGGUAGCAUAAUCAUUAGUCUUUUAAUAGGAGGCUGGUAUGAAAGGUUUAACGAAACAUAAACUGUCUUAUUUAUAAAUUUAUAAUUUAACUUUUAAGUUAAAAGGCUUAAAUAUUUUUGGAGGACGAGAAGACCCUAUAGAGCUUUACAUUAUAUUGUUUUUAAUAUUUCUUUGUUUAAUAAUUUAGUAUUAAUUUUAAUAUUGUUUUGUUGGGGUGACAAAAAAUAUAUAUUUAACUUUUAUCAUUUAAUUUACAUUAAUUUAUGUUUUAUUGGAUCCAAUAUUAUUGAUCAUUAGAUUAAGUUACCUUAGGGAUAACAGCGUAAUCUUCUUUCAGAGUUCAAAUUUACAAGAAGGCUUGCGACCUCGAUGUUGGAUUAAGAUAAUAGUUAGGUGCAGUAGCUUAAUUAAUAGGUCUGUUCGACCUUUAAAUUCUU
rnacentral:rRNA from 1 species